UGUGCACACGGACACGCACAGGUUGUUAGGAUGACAGUCAGGACAUCGCAUGAUGCGAUUCAUCAGGAUGAUGAGCUGGGAAAUACAGGGAUUAGGGACAAAAGAGUGGGCGGUUAAUACCGCCCCUUUUUUU
rnacentral:sRNA from 1 species